UUUUCUUCUAUAUAAUCUACAGCAUCUUCCGGUAAGGGUGCUCCAGUAAAAUGGCCCUACUGGUAAGAAAGCUGUUUCUGGUUGUUCUAAUCAGCACGCUCACUGUUUUGGCGAAGAGCGAACCCAGGGAAUCCGCGUUGGAAGAUACCUUGCAAUGUUUCAAGGAACUAAGUGGAGUGUUGAACGAAUCGUUCCUCAAAUGUUGUUCCACGCGCGGGAUGACUGAAACUGUGGCCGCCGUGAUGGUGCAGUUACACGAGCACUUAACAAAUGCCCAACAACUCCUGUUCGGUCCGGCGCAUCACGGUUCCGUUUCGAACGGGUCAUCGGAGUCACACGAAACGCAUCAAGAAAUGGCAAACCGUGUCAUUAUGACUGUGAUCUCUGCCGUUGAAUAUGUAUUGCGCGAAUUGAACCAGACCAUCACAGCAUAAAGCAUCGACAUCGACUGCGGGAAAACUACGGGGAAAGUAAAUAAGGAACCAUUUCCGGGAGUCUCACAUCCAGUAGCAAAGCAAUCUACAUCAUCGACCGGGUACGGCGACCUACGAGCUUCGGUCUGGAUGGCGCAUCUUACUUGAUAUGAUUGAACAUUGUACCGAACACGCUUCGCUUAUCAGGUCUUCGAUUCGGUGCUCUAACGUCACGGAGUAUCUCAAGAUAGUGGCCGGGCAAUUGUAUCUUAUAAUUAUUAUUUCCAUUGUAUCUCUCCGGCAACCGGCAGCUACCGAAACAUCAACGUAAUUUCGCUUACCUACCCCAAAAUUACCACGCGACAACCUAAUGAUACGCGAUAUCGCUUAUCACUUAGACACCAUCGACGAUCCAUCAUCACUUGCAGAUGCAUCGAUUGUUGCAAAUAUGAUUGCAGAAUAUAAUAGAACCGAGGCUGUGACACUAAUUUGGCAGCUUUAUGUAAUGCAGGGCAUGGCAUGUAAUACAGGACAUCUCUCCCUUCAAUAAACGUGAUUGUGCAAUGAC